rnacentral:misc_RNA from 1 species
UCAAACUUGGUCAUUUAGAGGAAGUAAAAGUCGUAACAAGGUUUCCGUAGGUGAACCUGCGGAAGGAUCAUUACCGAGAUAGGGUCCCUCCUUCGGGGCCCGACCUCCCAACCCUUAUGUCUACUCACCUCGUUGCUUCGGUGGGCCGGAUUCGACCAACUGGUCGUUAACCGCCGGUCUCGGGCUGGAGAGCUGCCCGCGGAUGGCCUCGACACCAAACUCUUUGUACCAAAAUCUGUCGUCUGAAUUAUAUUAGAUUUUGAAUCAAAACCAAAACUUUCAACAACGGAUCUCUUGGUUCUGGCAUCGAUGAAGAACGCAGC